GGAAACGUGUCCGAAAGUUAGGAAUCACUUUGAUAGAGUGAACCAUAGGGGUUCAAACCCCCUCAUUUCCU
rnacentral:tRNA from 1 species